UACGGAGGAUGCAAGCGUUAUCCGGAAUGAUUGGGCGUAAAGCGUCCGCAGGUGGCAAUGUAAGUCUGCGGUCAAAGACUGGGGCUUAACCCUGGAAAGGCCGUGGAAACUGAAGAGCUAGAGUGCAGUAGGGGUAGAGGGAAUUCCCGGUGUAGCGGUGAAAUGCGUAGAGCUCGGGAAGAACAUCGGUGGCGAAAGCGCUCUGCUGGACUGCAACUGACACUCAGGGACGAAAGCUAGGGGAGCGAAUGGG
rnacentral:rRNA from 1 species